GAGGGUAUAGCUCAGUGGUAGAGUGCAUGCUUAGCAUGCAUAAGGUCCUGGGUUCAAUUCCCAGUACUUCCA
rnacentral:tRNA from 1 species